GAGGAAAGGAAAGGGGGGGUUAGUGUGGGAGAGAGAGCGAGGGAAAGAGCAGGGAGGAGUAGAGAGCACAGCCCACAGGUGCGCUCUAAGAGCUUUGCCUCGAGUCACUCACAUCCAAGGAACAAUGAGAAUAUUAACUUUGAGGCCUUUAAGAUGGCACACACACACACACACACACACACACACACACACACACACACACACACACACACACACACACACACAGAAACACACACAGAAACACACACACACACAGAAGCACACACACAGACAGACAGACAGACACACAGACAGACACACAGACAGACAGACACACAGACAGACAGACAGACACAUAAUAGCGGCCUCCUCACCUUUUAUGCCUCUUUCCUAAGUCUUUUCUCUUCAUUCUCCUAAGUCUUUUCUCUUCAUUCUCUUCUCUUCAUUUGAGGAAUGUUUUUUUUUAAAUCAAAUGUAAAUACUAACUCUGUCCCUAAUAGCUCGGUGGAUUUACAAUCAAUUCCCCUCGGCCUUCCAUUGGCUGACUUCAAAGCGAACGGCCCAUGAUCAGCCCGUCAUUUUAUGGAAGAAAUGUUUCCCCUCCCUAGUGUUGUCUUUUUCCCCCCACUAGUUCUUAAUGAGGUCUGGAACUGCAUCCAAAAUGGCACCCUAUUCCCUAUAUCAAGGCACUCCAACCCCUAGGUUUUCAAUCCAACCCUGCUCCCGGAGAGCUACCGUCCUGUAGGUUUUCACUCCAACCCUGUUCCCGGAGAGCUACCGUCCUGUAGGUUUUCACUCCAACCCUGUUCCCGGAGAGCUACCGUCCUGUAGGUUUUCACUCCAACCCUGCUCCCGGAGAGCUACCGUCCUGUAGGUUUUCACUCCAACCCUGUUCCCGGAGAGCUACCGUCCUGUAGGUUUUCACUCCAACCCUGCUCCCGGAGAGUUACCGGCCUGUAGGUUUUCACUCCAACCCUGUUCCCGGAGAGCUACCGUCCUGUAGGUUUUCACUCCAACCCUGUUCCCGGAGAGCUACCGUCCUGUAGGUUUUCACUCCAACCCUGCUCCCGGAGAGCUACCGUCCUGUAGGUUUUCACUCCAACCCUGUUCCCGGAGAGCUACCGUCCUGUAGGUUUUCACUCCAACCCUGUUCCCGGAGAGCUACCGUCCUGUAGGUUUUCACUCCAACCCUGUUCCCGGAGAGCUACCGUCCUGUAGGUUUUCACUCCAACCCUGUUCCCGGAGAGCUACCGUCCUGUAGGUUUUCACUCCAACCCUGUUCCCGGAGAGCUACCGUCCUGUAGGUUUUCACUCCAACCCUGUUCCCGGAGAGCUACCGUCCUGUAGGUUUUCACUCCAACCCUGCUCCCGGAGAGCUACCGUCCUGUAGGUUUUCACUCCAACCCUGUUCCCGGAGAGCUACCGUCCUGUAGGUUUUCACUCCACCUUCCCGGAGAGCUAAGGACCCAAUGGACCCUAGUAAAAAGUAGUGAAAAGGGUGCCAUUUCAGUCGCAGCCUAGAUGCUGAGUUAAUAGCAGGCCUCUAGUAUAGCAGAGCAGCCUGAGGACGCCAGACCAGACUGUGAAUGCAUCCAAAAUGGCACACUUUCCCCAAUAUAGUGCACUACUUCUGACCAGGGCUCUGCUCAGAAGUAGUGCACUAUGUAGGGAAUAGGGUGUCAUUUGGGAUGCAGUUUAAGAUACUUAACAUAACUGUACAGUUUUCUCUGCUCUGCUUUGGCUCUGGUUCCUCUGAAGGGGUUGCUGCCCAAAUGACUGGGUACACUCUGC